rnacentral:rRNA from 1 species
AAUGAACGUUGGCGGCGUGGAUUAGGCAUGCAAGUCGAACGCUUUAUGUAGCAAUACAUGAAGAGUGGCGUAAGGGAGAGUAAUCCAUGGUUAGCUACCCUCGGGUCUGGGAUAGCGGCGGGAAACUGCCGGUAAUACCAGAUGACAUCUUCGGAUCAAAGGUGUGAUUCCGCCCGAGGAGGCGACCGUGUCCUAUCAGCUAGUUGGCGGUGUAAUAGACCACCAAGGCUAAGACGGGUAUGGGGCGUGAGAGCGUGCCCCCACUCACUGGGACUGAGACACUGCCCAGACACCUACGGGUGGCUGCAGUCGAGAAUCUUCGGCAAUGGGCGCAAGCCUGACCGAGCGACGCCGCGUGCGGGAUGAAGGCCUUCGGGUUGUAAACCGCUGUCGUAGGGGAGGAAGCGACCGUGAAGAACGGAAGUUGACCGAUCCUAGGAGGAAGCGCCGGCUAAUCUCGUGCCAGCCGCCGCAGUAA